rnacentral:lncRNA from 1 species
UAUCCAUAUACCCUCUCCGAAUGAAAAAAAUCUCUGAAAAUACCCGUCCCCGUAGGGAUUUUUGCCAUCCCUACUUUUGAGAUAGCCUACGGACUGGAUUGGUGAAGACCAUGUGAUUUCCGUAGUCUUGCAUCCAACUGAACAGAGAGUCCCGGACAAAGGCCACGUCAUUGGUGAUGACUUUCAUCACCAAUGAAAAAAAUCCCCGAGAAUAUCCGUUUCCGUGGAGAUUUUUGUCAUCCUUACUUUUGAGAUAGCCUACGGACUGGAUUGGUAAAGACCAUGUGAUUUCCGUAGUCCUGCAUCCAACUGAACAGAGAGUCCUGGACAAAGGCCACGUCAUUGGUGAUGACUUUCAUGUCUCCUAAAAGAUUGUUUCUCUUGCUAUAUUAAAAUCUCUGACCGAUUAAAUCCUUGUAAGUAGUUGGUGGUAGUUGCAGUCAAGUGACGUUAACGUGAUGCACUCUUCAUUUAUUAAUUAUUAUUAAUUUAUGCAUGGCUAUCAGAAUUUAAAAAAAAAUUAGGAAUUACUCAAUGGUGAAGUCAGAAGUGCUGAAGAUAAUUGUAUAAUUAUAAAAAUAAAUAAUAAAUUUAUACUUACUACGGUAAUCAUUAGUGUUUUACAGUAGAACAGUUCCAUAAUAGCACUGUCAUAUAAAAAAAUUAAGAUAAGGUCAGACUUUCUUAGACUCCCCCAACUUAAUAUCUUGAAUUAUCAACUAUUAUAUUAGAAUGUAUUGUUUAAUUGUAUUAGAAUUACGAUGCAUUGUUAUUACACGUUAUUACGUUACAUUAAGUCAUAAUGUAUUAUUAUAAUUGGUGUAGUAUGCAUUGUAUUAAUUAUAAUA